rnacentral:rRNA from 1 species
GGUUGAUCCUGCCAGUAGUCAUAUGCUUGUCUCAAAGAUUAAGCCAUGCAUGUCUAAGUAUAAGCAAAUCUAUACUGUGAAACUGCGAAUGGCUCAUUAAAUCAGUUAUAGUUUAUUUGAUGGUAUCUUACUACAUGGAUAACUGUGGUAAAUCUAGAGCUAAUACAUGCUGAAAAGCCCCGACUUCCGGAAGGGGUGUAUUUAUUAGAUAAAAGACCAAUGGCGGGCAACCGUCUUGAGUUGAUUCAUAAUAACUUCUCGAAUCGCAUGGCCUUGUGCCGGCGAUGCUUCAU